CGGGGUGUAGCGCAGUGGUUAGCGCGCUUGCCUUGGGAGCAAGAUGCCGAAGGUUCGAAUCCUUUCACCCCGA
rnacentral:tRNA from 2 species